GAACGGGGAUCGAUUUAGCCAUGCGAGUCGCACGGGUUCAGACCCGUGGCGAACUGCUCAGUAACACGUGGCCAAACUACCCUAUAGACGUGGACAACCUCGGGAAACUGAGGCUAAUCCACGAUAACGCUCUUUCGCUGGAGUGCAUUGAGCGUGAAAUGCUACGGCGCUAUAGGAUGUGGCUGCGGCCGAUUAGGUAGACGGUGGGGUAACGGCCCACCGUGCCCAUAAUCGGUACGGGUCAUGAGAGUGAGAGCCCGGAGACGGACUCUGAGACACGAGUCCGGGCCCUACGGGGCGCAGCAGGCGCGAAACCUUUACACUGCACGACAGUGCGAUAAGGGGAUUCCGAGUGCGAGGGCAUACAGUCCUCGCUUUUGUACACCGUAGGGUGGUGUACGAAUAAGGGCUGGGCAAGACCGGUGCCAGCCGCCGCGGUAACACCGGCAGCCCAAGUGAUGGCCGAUAUUAUUGGGCCUAAAGCGUCCGUAGCUGGCCGGACAGGUCCGUUGGGAAAUCCACUCGCUCAACGAGUGGGCGUCCAGCGGAAACCGUCUGGCUUGGGACCGGAAGACCCGAGGGGUACGUCCAGGGUAGGAGUGAAAUCCCGUAAUCCUGGACGGACCACCGGUGGCGAAAGCGCCUCGGGAAGACGGAUCC
rnacentral:rRNA from 1 species